rnacentral:rRNA from 1 species
UACGUAGGGGGCAAGCGUUGUCCGGAUUUAUUGGGCGUAAAGAGCGUGUAGGCGGCCAUGUAGGUCCGUUGUGAAAACUCGAGGCUCAACCUCGAGACGCCGAUGGAAACCAUGUGGCUAGAGUCCGGAAGAGGAGAGUGGAAUUCCUGGUGUAGCGGUGAAAUGCGCAGAUAUCUGGAGGAACACCGGUGGCGAAGGCGGCAUCCUGGACCGGCAUUGACGCUGAGGCGCGAAAGCCAGGGGAGCAAACGGG